CAAAAGACCCCUUGCUAGCUAUUGCCGGAAGGUGGGUUGCACCUCCAACAGACGGCUGAUAAUGGUCCAUAUCAAGGACGGAACUCUAAACGGGUAUCACUUUGGGAACGGAUUCACACAGGCCAUCCAAAAGAUAGCUGGAGCAGGAAAUGACUACACUUAAGGGCUUCAGACCAUCCAGCGCUUAAAAAGUUUAUUUUCCCAAAAUGGCUCCAUUGCCUCCGUUAAACGUGGGCAUAAAAUUGCACAGAGCUAAAAUUCAAACCGCAUGCACUUAACACUCAGGUUUGACUACAAUAACGUUUGGGAUUCCAUCGAGGACAGCCUGUCAUCCUAUAAUUAAUUUGGGAAGUUUUUGGACCGCGUGCAGCGGCGAUAACAGAAAACGCUGCUCUAUUGCCAAGUUCCCACCUGGGCAUCUCCUCAGAGCUUGUAAUAGCGGCCAGUGCAGUGAGGCCGGAAAUAGCAAUUUAAUGCCCAGGGACUCAUGGGUAGCAUUCACUCCGAAAAGCAUCUUUUGGCUUCAUCUGUCCUUCCUAACUUUGUUUUGUGUGCCACCUUGAGCACGGCAACCCAGAAAUGUUGGGAGGGUCUGUGUACCUGAGCUGAAUGCGUCGCAAAUAGCGACUGUGAUAAUGAAGCAGAUGGCAGAUUAAUGGAUGGGAGAUGAUUUGGGCGCUGUUCAAGCAUGCAUGUCGCUAGAGAUAACAGGAUCUCAUAGCAGAUAAUGACCAGAUUCGCUAAAUGUACCGGUAGGAGGAUUAGAAUAGGGUACAAGUAGCACACUUAA